AAUAAACAAAGAGGGAAAGGAAGAAAGGAAGAAAGAAGAAAAGAGGGAGAGAGAUCAGCAACAAAGGCCAUUCCUCUUCUUUUUGCUCCGACAUUGUAUUUCGAGCAGCACUAUCGACUCUCUUUCUACCGUUGUCUUCUGAUCUUUUUGGUAA
rnacentral:ribozyme from 14 species